GGGCGGCUAGCUCAGUUGGUUAGAGCGCCAUCCUCACACGGUGGAAGUCGUUGGUUCGAGUCCAAUGCCGCCCA
rnacentral:tRNA from 2 species